CCGCAGGGCCUCGAUUUCAGCGAGGUGAUUCGCGAUCGCCCUCCCCGAGGGAGGGGAUCGGGGAGGGACGACCGAAAUGUCGAGGCGAUGCGGAUGUGUGCCGCCUAUUUGCGAACUCGCACUUUAAAUUUAGACCGGGAUUCACGGAUCUGACAUUUUUUUCCGACUGCACGGGACACAAUGACAAAUUUGGUUCUCUCAAUUUAACUCUCAUUAAUGCGCGCGGCACGACGUUUCUCUAGCCUUAGAGUGACAUCAACAAAUUAACUACAAUUAACUUAAUCGACGAUUAACUUUAUCAAGUAACACCUGUGUGCAAUUCUGUUAAACAUGAAAUUAUUAACUGCUUGUUAUAUAUAACGCGCAUGAAAUGAAAAAGAGAUUAGAUUAGGAGCGAUAAAUUAUUUCUAAUUACGAUUCCUUCUCGUCGUGAUUUCUCUUUGUAUCUCGUGCAACGCGCUGUGUUACAAUUUAGAAUUCUUUUUAUCGCUAUAUGUAUAAUUUUUUUUUUCGAUCUGCCAUAUACGAUAGAACCAAACGAGAAGUGCAGCACAGCACGCGAAAUGCAAUUUUAACUGUCCGUACGAUUUGUUUCUAUCUUUAGAAAUGUAUAAUCUUAUCGCAUCGCGCACAUUGUAGAUUACCGUAAAAUAUCGCAAACAACUGAGGAUUGUUCAGUGACUCGGCGAUAAGUCGCUGAAAAUGUUUCCGCGCCGCGGGAAUGCGCCGCUGAAAUAUGGGGCGCCGUCGUGUAAUGGAAAAAUUGGCCGGCUGUUGCAGGGGCACAAAGUGAUGGAAAAAAAAAAAGAAAAUUGGCUUGAAAGAGUGUCUCUGAUGGAAAAAUACGCGGGCGGAUGCAUGGAUAACCGUAUAAAUAACGCGAUGUACCGCGCGCGAGACGCAGCGAGAUGUAUCCGGGACGGGGAUUAGCCCGAGGAGGAGGAUCCGAGGAAGCGAGGCGAGGCGAAGAAAGUUGGAAAGCUUCGAAAGAAACGAAGAAGGUGUACGUCACUCGCUCGAGCGACCUCCUGUUGCGCCAGCUGCACAUCGAAUGUCUUUCUGAGUGCCUCUCUCUCUCUCUCUUUUUCGCAUCUAAAAAAGGGAAUUUUUUUAGGCACACGGACUAAUGUUUAUCAACAAAUUAACUUCGGGAAAAAAUACUUUAAUUAUUCAUCACGUUGGCGACAUAAAAACGUUGAAAAAAUGACAGGACUGCGAUUAAUUUUACGACGGUAAAAAGAUGAUGUAUCCUUUAAUGCGCACGUGGCUCAUUAUGUAUCAUUAUAUUCCGAUUUAUUAUAUAUUAUUAUAUUCUGAUUUA